CUAUGUCUUGCGGAGGAUCUUUGAUUUCAUCUCGUUAUUACAGUUGGAAACCCCGAAGGGUAGGAAUCCGUCCAAUCGUCUUCUUCAAAAAGCAAAGUCAUGACAUCGUUGAGGUCAUAAGAGUUAUAGCAGAAUCGGAACCUAAUGGAAAUUCGUAUUCACAUUACCAUUCUUGUAAUACUCUUUUGUUUUUGUUUUUGCAAUUACCUCUUUCUAGGAGUUGUUUCCCAAUGUAAAUGCCUAUUUACAGG
rnacentral:lncRNA from 1 species